CCAAUGGCCAUGCAGAUGUUGUCAGAUAUCUGCUAAGAAAGAACAGCCAGCCCAACCUCGCUGACAGCUUCAAGAGAACGGCCCUGAUGAAGGCAGUCCAGCAGGAGCAGGAAGAAUGUGUUGCUGUUCUGCUGGAACACGGUGCCGACCCCAAUCUGGCAGACGCUGACGGCAACACUGCCCUUCACCUGGCUGUGCUCUCUAAAAACACAGCUGUAGCAGGGCUGUUACUGGAGCAUCAUGCCAACAGUGAUGCUCAGAACCAGUGGGGAUUUACCCCCUUGAAACUUGCAGCCUUGCAACAGCAUGAGGAGAUUGUGGAGUGCCUUGUGAGCAAAGCAGCUGACAGGC